rnacentral:rRNA from 1 species
GUGCCAGCCGCCGCGGUAAUACGGAGGGUGCAAGCGUUAAUCGGAAUUACUGGGCGUAAAGCGCGCGUAGGUGGCUUGAUAAGCCGGUUGUGAAAGCCCCGGGCUCAACCUGGGAACGGCAUCCGGAACUGUCAGGCUAGAGUGCAGGAGAGGAAGGUAGAAUUCCCGGUGUAGCGGUGAAAUGCGUAGAGAUCGGGAGGAAUACCAGUGGCGAAGGCGGCCUUCUGGACUGACACUGACACUGAGGUGCGAAAGCGUGGGUAGCAAACAGGAUUAGAUACCCUGGUAGUNCACGCCGUAAACGAUGUCGACCAGCCGUUGGGUGCCUAGAGCACUUUGUGGCGAAGUUAACGCGAUAAGUCGACCGCCUGGGGAGUACGGCCGCAAGGUUAAAACUCAAAUGAAUUGACGGGGGCCCGCACAAGCGGUGGAGCAUGUGGUUUAAUUCGAUGCAACGCGAAGAACCUUACCUACCCUUGACAUCUACAGAAGCCGGAAGAGAUUCUGGUGUGCCUUCGGGAACUGUAAGACAGGUGCUGCAUGGCUGUCGUCAGCUCGUGUUGUGAAAUGUUGGGUUAAGUCCCGUAACGAGCGCAACCCUUGUCCUUAUUUGCCAGCGAGUAAUGUCGGGAACUCUAAGGAGACUGCCGGUGACAAACCGGAGGAAGGUGGGGACGACGUCAAGUCAUCAUGGCCCUUACGGGUAGGGCUACACACGUGCUACAAUGGCCGGUACAAAGGGCUGCGAGCUCGCGAGAGUCAGCGAAUCCCUUAAAGCCGGUCUCAGUCCGGAUCGGAGUCUGCAACUCGACUCCGUGAAGUCGGAAUCGCUAGUAAUCGUGAAUCAGAAUGUCACGGUGAAUACGUUCCCGGGCCUUGCACACACCGCCCGUC